UGAGUAACCUGCCCUUGACCCUGGAAUAACAGCUGGAAACAGCUGCUAAUACCGGAUACGACCUUCGAUGGCAUCAUCUGGAGGAGGAAAGCUCCGACGGUCAAGGAUGGGCUCGCGGCCUAUCAGCUUGUUGGUGAGGUAACGGCUCACCAAGGCAACGACGGGUAGCUGGUCUGAGAGGAUGGCCAGCCACAGUUGGGACUGAGACACGGCCAGAUCCGACGGG
rnacentral:rRNA from 1 species